CCUUUUUUCACCGGAGAAAUCGGCCGUCGGUGAGCGAGUGGUCGACCUUGCGUGCUUUUUCGCCUAGCGUUGUGAGCCAGCUGGCUUCUUUCUCCUUUUCAAUUUCUUUUUCCCUCGCAAGCAACAUGCCUGGGCGCGGCUUUAAAAGAGAGUCAGCUGACUGCGAUAACCUCGGCAACUUUUGCUUCGUGAAGCGCGAUAGGUCAGUACGGAGGCGAACGUUUGAGAUGUCGCGUCGCUGUCGAGACCUGCCCGAGACGAAACCCUGCGGGUGGUCCACCGUUCGUGGUAGGGUCCGUAGGAUGGUGCAGCAACAAGUCCGCGUAGUACGCGGGAUUACGUCACGAGGCCGAUAGCGAGCUGUUGCUGCUGGUCUACAGCUCAGCCGUCGUUCGACAUUGGAAACGCGCGAGGGAGUCGCGGAAAAACAGCUGUUCGCCGCGGAACACGUCACCUUACGCGCGGAGAGGGGAAAGAAAGAAGGGGAGGCGAGCGAAACAGCUGCCUGCCGUUGACCCGCGGGCGAGCAGUAACUGUGGAGCCCAUCGAUGACUCGGAAGACGACGUCCGCGCAGCAGCGGCAGUAUCAGCAGACGACACCUCUGUUUCCGUCUGCCUAUGCCAGCGCACGCAGUCGCCAGCCAGUGCCUGUUUCGCCGCUUCCCGCAGCAGGAGCGUCGUCGAAGCGAUGCUGUCGCCCACAGAGCCCGUCCUUGCCAAGGCAGUCGGAGUGCCGAGCGGAACACUGCAUAUGGGCAUGGCAUUUAGCCAGGUGGUCCACAUAUUGCAACAGCAAUUCCGCAUCAUCAAGGGUGUCCAGAUUAUCUACAAUGAGCAGUGCCCACUGGACAGUGAUCUCGUGAUCCUCCUGUCAGAGGAUGGGAUCCAGCUCAGCUUCGACUCAAGCUCGCAGAGGCUAAAGGUGAUAGAAGUCACCGACAUGUCGAAGGUUAAGUUGACAUAUUGCAGGAGCACUUUCUGCUCACCCGAGGUGUUGCCCACCAGACAGCAAAUUGACGACUGCUUCGGCGCCACCCACCCCGGAGAGUAUGAUGCCAGCCAGCAGAUGUUUGUGCUGCACUUCCGGGGUUUGUCCUUCUCGUUCUUGGCUGACCCCAAGUGCAAGUUGGACGCAGCCCUUGGCUCUUCCCCCACGGGGCAGCUGCCCAAUGGCAGCUCGCCACUGGUCUCCCGCAUGGCCAUCUACUACGGAAACAGCCUCACCGACACCAGCUGUUUUCACCAUCAUCGUCAUCAUCACCACCACCACCAUCCACGGAAUAUUGCAUUGCAUGACAAAGGCCUCUGCUGCCCCAUGCUCUCCCUGCCCUGCAGAAAGAACACUUGCUUUGCAGCUGCAAAUUUCCUAGACUUAUCAUCACCUCAUCUGCUUCAUACCGCCAGCUGCCGGCUGUUGUUUCCUUGCCCUCGGCCUCCCCCCUUGCCUCUGUGCUGUUUCGGCAACCAGAGCUUCCUCGAGGCACUGGAGGUGCUUCGGGAAGGGGACACGACCCUGGGGGUCCGGCUCACCCUGCUCACCGAAGCGUACGAGACGUCUCGGCUCUCUGGGCCAAUCCAGAAGAAGUUGACACGAUGUGUGUACUUCGGUGACUCCGUUCAGGACGUGGUGUGGGCCCUGGGCUCCCCAAACAAGGUGUUCUACAAGGAGGAGGACAAGAUGAAGAUCCAUGCCCAGGACUCCCACAGGCUGCUGGCCGCCAGGGCCUCUGACUACUUCUACAACUACUUCACCCUCGGCAUGGACGUGCUGUUUGAUGCCCAGCGGCACGUGGUGAAAAAGAUAGUCUUGCAGAGCAACUACCCAGGCCACUACAACUUUCAGCAAUACUACCGGUGCCCAUUUCGGCUGAAGUUGCGCCUCCCUCCUACACCCGAGCAGCGCCGGGCCACCCUGGUUGAUGUGGCCGACGAGGACGAGGGACACGCGGUCACUGCCUUCACCAAGUGGGACGAGCUCCAAGAGCGCCUGGUCAAAGCAUCCGAGCGCCCAGUUGUCCUGAACAGAACCUCCUCGACAAACACCACCAAUCCAUUCGGAUCUACCUACUGCUAUGGAUACCAGGACAUCAUCUUCGAGGUGAUGCGGAACAAGCACAUAGCAUCCGUGACGCUCUACCAGCGCAACGGCCGACUACACAGGGCCAAGGGCACGGCCUCAUGACACCACCUCCCUCGCACAUCGUCCUUGGCGCACAUCUCCACUAGUCACCACAAUGCCGCUCCUUCUCCGCCGCCCAGCCCGCCUCCCUUCUUCCGCCUCUUGCCACAGCAGCAGCAGCCGCCACCGCCGUUGUCGUCGUUGCGUGAACCCCCACCCCGUCGCUCACCUCCGGGACUCUGAGCUCCCGCAGGGUCGUGUGUGUGGCAUGUUUGUGUGGAUGACAGUGCCAUUCGGUUAAGGGUAGAUGAAAGCUCGCGGAAACCCAGGCCAGCGUUUCAUGAAAAGUGAAAGAGAGCAAGAACCAUGAUGGUGCACAGAUGUGUGGUGUGUAGUAUUGCUAUUUUCUUUUUAAUAUUUUAAUUGCCUUUCUUUCUUUAUCCGCACGUUGGGAGCGUUGCAGUUUGGCAGCUGUAGAUAUCACAAGGUGAUGAAUGAAUGCUGCUCGUCGUCUUGGAGGAGCUGCUCGAAUUCUCAAAUACACUUGCGGAUUUCGUUGGCAUUUUUGCCAAAUUUUACGAGCCCAAAUCUGCCAGUGGCAAAUUUUGCGCUCCUCAUUGAAUUGCAGCGGAAGUUGCCAUGCACAGCCAACAGAUUGCGGUAGGCGGAACAUUUGGUUCAAUCCCCUUUCCGACAGUCUUGCAAGAAAUGUAACGAUUUGCUGUGCAGCGAGCCAAUUGGAAAUGACCAGUGAGAUAUGCUGGAAUUGGCUUUCUCUUUCUCUCUCUCUCUCUCCACUUUUGUGAAGCAUUUUUUUGUUUUUUUUGCCAAGUCUUUUGCCUCAAGGUUCAAGGACAGCUGUGCGAUGCUUCUUUGUUGCAUAAUGUUUCUCUGUGAAGAACAGGUGCUGAAGGUGUGAGAAGUUUUAAAAAGAAGAAAAAGAAAAAGUUCAGGGUUUCAGGAAGUGCAUACUUGCAUGUGACGCCGUCAGUGAAGCUCUUGAAUGUUCACAGCAGGACCUAAAGACAAGCUUAGUGAGAGGAAAAGGCAAACUGUAAGGUUUUAUGUCUGCAGUGCUGACGCUAUGUGAAAAAGUGCCCAUGUUGCGGCGAUUGUUUUGAAAUUCUGCGAGAGUCGCGAGCUGUGCCCAUGUGUGUGUUGCUGCUCAUAGCGAGUCCUGAAUGCUGGAAGCAUGGCACUCUAGUGUUCAGACGUGACUUUGCAACUGAGACAAACACUAUGUGUACUGAGCUCAGCCGAGUUUGGUAAUGAUAAUACCUAACCUUUGUUGUCAUAUUAUUUUACGUGCAAGGUAAUGUGCCUUGCCUAAGGAAUGAAGUGCUUUGGGUGUGCGUGCAAAGUGGUUGACCAGUGCCUGUACCAAAAAUAGGGCAAUUAAAAUGAUCUAAAUUAAAAGAAAAAAGGAAAUGCGAGGAAAUAGAUUUCAGUCCAACCUCCAGAAAGAAAACGACGAUGAACCAACACAGGUCGUCCCGGAAUUACAGCUUGAAAGACUAUGAAAAAGACUUCAUAAUUAGUAAUGGAAAACCAUACUAGUUCACAAAUACCUUGCAUAGAAUCUGUCGCACUAUGCGAUGCCUCGAGAAGAUAGGCCCACGUUACUUCUCAUCUUUCUAAAAUUCUUGCAUUUCCACAGUGGGCUAAACAACCGGCUGCGUCAGCACGAGACAGGAUGCAGAAACAAUUGCAGUGCCCCCUGGAUAGCACUGGUUUCCCUAUACAGAACAGUGUUGGUUUGAUUGAGAGGGCUUGGGACACUGUAUCGUGGGCUCUGGCCUGUGGAACUUUGUAACAAAGGCUCCCUGUUAUGUCGUGAAAAAAAAGAACAAAAAAGAUGCCCUGACUGGCGACCAACUUCCCCCCAAGCCUACUGCCCACGGCACCCCAAGUCCACCCCAUCUGCGCUCUCAUGGUACCUGUGCUGCCAACUAUGACGGUGCCUCCAAAUGCUCAGCGAUUACCUCUAGAGCAAUUCGACUGCAUCAACUUCUUCGUUGAAACCUGCUACAGCAAGCAUACACACUAUUAGCACAUUCAUUUAGCCCACUAGUUUACCAAAGCAUGUCUAAAUCCUUCAGGUGCUUCAGGUACCAUGUACACGUUCUUUGCUACAUGGUUUCUGGCACAGCAGUCAUUGUUGGCGAUCCUCUUUGCAAUAAUACCUGUUUACUGUCUUAGGUGUCAGUCAAAUAAGUGUCGACGAGAAGUGCCUGAUUAUAUUCAAGCAGGCCUGCGUGUCUUCCCUCUGGCUGAAACUCCUAGCCGGGAUAUCGACAAGAAAAAAGAAUUCGGCAUGCCAUGCUGCAACUUUCUGCAGUUGCUCAUCGCAGACAGCAAAUAGGUGCCAGCAGUGCUUUCUUUCAGAACGUUGCUGAUAUGCAAUUGCCCUGUUCGCCGUGAUGAGGGCUGUAGGCUAAGGGCUUCACCUACAGCUCGUACCACGCUACACCGCAGAGAGUGGGCAGGUUUGUCAUCAAGGUUGCGAAAGACAUCCGUUCACUGUAAAAAUGCUACACGCACAUGGCGCAGCUCCCACACACAUCAUCGUGUUUGCGAACGCCACUCUUUUGCAUGCUGCAACAGCAACUACUCCAGGAGAUAGGUCUGACUAUGGCACAGCUAGGGUAGGGGAGCCUCAUUCUCGCAAACUACUACAUGUGCACGUACGCUUAAGUUUUUUUGUUUCCCAUUUUUCAGGGAUGCAGGUGAGCACUACAAUUGAGUAAAUGUGGUAAUGCAAGCUUCCUUGUAUUUGUCUUGUAUACGUGUGUACACUAGUUUUCAGCACCUCUGCCAUCCGAGUGUGCAGAUCUCACAGGUAUUGAUUUGGCUUGAAGAAAAGCACAUUGUUAUUAUUGUUGUUUAAAAAUUGAGCGCAGUGUAGUUCACAUGCUUUUUAUUGUAAUUGUAUCACUCUCACCUGUGCACCAGUGUUUACCGAUAGUGCUGAAAAGGCGUUUACUUGCACUUUUGUAUCGUUCGACAUGCAUAUGUGUGUGUGUGUGGGUGGGGGGGGGGGGAGGGGAGAAUUGUCACUUUUGUGCAACGUGGUUUUCUUUUAUUGUUGUGCUGAUAGGGUGUGUUGUCAGAAAGGAGUGACGAAUGUGUUUUUAUGGCUUGACCAGAUUGUCUGCCCGGACAUGUGGAACCAGCUGGAUUCUUGCACUGUCACUCUCGUGUAACCUUUCACAUUUAAUGCCAUACAGCUCCUCGAAAUGUGUCAUUGCGGAUGUCGCAUUUUUAGGUUUCCCACAGCUCUUCAUUGCUUCCAAAGUCUGCUGUGCAGCUUACUGUUGAAGCUCUCUUUGAUACCAUUCUAGCGGUAUGGGGUGAUUUACAUAAGAUGCUAUUGUAUCUUCAUGGUGCUUAGGUCAUAUUGAAAAUGGCAUGCUACGCUUAAAAUGACAUGUGCCAACAUUGCGUUUUGUGAUAAAGGACAUCCGAUACUGCACUCAGCAAAAUGAAGCUUUGCUUUACUUCUUGUCGCAUGAGAAAAGAAAAAAAGAAGAAAAAAGCAUGAUGAUAACUUGUUUAGUGUGCGAGGUCUAUGUACACCUGUGUGUAGUAUUUAAGAGUGCUUGUUUUUUAACCAAAAACACAACUUUCUGGUGUCUGAGCGUUUUAACAGUUGUGAGGCAUGUAUUUGUGCAAGUGCUUUUUGUUUGGUCGAGCUUUAAUAUGGCCGGCUGCUGUCUAGUGACAGCUUUUUGUAUUUUUAUUCUUUGGUUUGAUGUAUCGUUUUAGAACAUUGCAUGGAUGUAUGUGUCGACAAAGCUGCCAUGUGCCCUGUGUGAAUGAGAAGGCGCAUUGCCGUGAUAGAACACAGAUUACGUUAGUUACGUUCGCAGCUGGUGUCGUGAACGCGACAUGCCUUUUCUGAGCCCUUCACCACACCACCUUUUAUUCUCUGCUUGUUCGUGUGGAGCCCUAUGACGUAUGUGCAAGUGUGUUAGCGUGACUGGCCUGUAAUUUUUCUUCUUGUGCCAGGCACAUCGAUGUGUGGCUUCUUUCUUAUGCGUGUUGAGUGCACAGAGUGAGCCCCUCAUUGUCUACAGCUGCUUGGUGCAGUACCUAACUUUGCGUCAGUAGGGUAGCUCUCUCUGAGCACCAAGUGAAUUGUACCAUUUGGGGAUGUAUGUGUACUUUUCUGUAACUUUAUUUGUGACUUUGGUGGUGCCUGGCUAGAAACAUGUCGAUACUUUUCCUUUGUUUAGACAUUAAAGAUGAUAUUUUUAGCGUCUUUUAAUGUCCCUGUGUUGAGGCUACUGAGCUGUUAAUGUCUCGAGUUACAUGCUCAGUCUGUGCAUCAUCUGAACGUGAGGAACAAAUUCACAUGUGCGUGUCAGAGACUAAGUGGCGACAUUUCCCGGAAGUGUGCCAGUGUUUCUGAUGUUUCCUGGUCGUGCGCUGUGUAUUUGUACGUAUCAUGUACUCUGCUGCAUAGCCUGUGACCAGUUGCACUGGAGAGUAAAAAGAAAAAAAAAGAAGAAAAGAAAAUUGUCUGUAAUAAACACCAAUUGGAUAA